CCGAGGCCCCGUAAUCGGAAUGAGUACACUUUAAAUCCUUUAACAAGGACCAAUUGGAGGGCAAGUCUGGUGCCAGCAGCCGCGGUAAUUCCAGCUCCAAUAGCGUAUAUUAAAGUUGUUGCGGUUAAAAAGCUCGUAGUUGAAUCUGUGUGUCACAGUGUCGGUUCACCGCUCGCGGUGUCUAACUGGCAUUAUGUGGUACGUCCUACCGGUGGGCUUAGCUCCUUGCGGGCGGUCCAACUAAUCUCCCAUCGCGGUGCUCUUCACUGAGUGUCGAGGUGGGCCGGUACGUUUACUUUGAACAAAUUAGAGUGCUCAAAGCAGGCUACCUUCGCCUGAAUACUGCGUGCAUGGAAUAAUGGAAUAGGACCUCGGUUCUAUUUUGUUGGUUUUCGGAACCCCGAGGUAAUGAUUAAUAGGGACAGAUGGGGGCAUUCGUAUUGCGACGUUAGAGGUGAAAUUCUUGGAUCGUCGCAAGACGGACUAAAGCGAAAGCAUUUGCCAAAAAUGUUUUCAUUAAUCAAGAACGAAAGUUAGAGGUUCGAAGGCNAUCAGAUACCGCCCUAGUUCUAACCAUAAACRAUGCCAGCUAGCGAUCCGCCGAAGUUCCUCCGAUGACUCGGCGGGCAGCUUCCGGGAAACCAAAGCUUUUGGGUUCCGGGGGAAGUAUGGUUGCAAAGCUGAAACUUAAAGGAAUUGACGGAAGGGC
rnacentral:rRNA from 1 species